AGAGUUUGAUCCUGGCUCAGGAUAAACGCUGGCGGCGUGCCUAACACAUGCAAGUCGAACGCUCUGAGAGGUUUACCUUUCAGGGAGUGGCGGACGGGUGAGGAACACGUGGGUAUCUACCUUGAGGUGAGGAAUACCGGCGAGAAAUCGCCGACAAUACCGCAUAGGUUUCGGAAGAAACAAAGCUUCGGAAGAGGCGCCACAAGAUGAGCCUGCGCCCGAUUAGCUAGUUGGUGGGGUAAAAGCCUACCAAGGCGACAAUCGGUAGCUGGUCUGAGAGGACGAUCAGCCACACUGGGAUUGAGAACGGCCCAGACUCCUACGGGGGGCAGCAGUGAGGAAUUUUCGUCAAUGGGGGAAACCCUGAACGAGCAACGCCGCGUGCAGGAAGAAGGUUUUCGGAUCGUAAACUGCUUUUCUUGGGGAAGAGUUACGGACGGUACCCAAGGAAGAAGCCCCGGCUAACUACGUGCCAGCAGCCGCGGUAAUACGUAGGGGGCGAGCGUUGUCCGGAUUUAUUGGGCGUAAAGGGCACGCAGGCGGUCAUGUCAGUUUCGAGUGACAGGUGGUGGCUUAACUGCCACAGGCCUCGAAAGACGGCAAGACUUGAGGGCUUGAGAGGGACGCGGAAUUCCAGGUGGAGCGGUGAAAUGCGUAGAGAUCUGGAAGAACACCAAAGGCGAAGGCAGCGUCCUGGCAAGUUCCUGACGCUCAGGUGCGAAAGCUAGGGGAGCGAACGGGAUUAGAUACCCCCGUAGUCC
rnacentral:rRNA from 1 species